rnacentral:lncRNA from 1 species
GCCUUUAUCUUUUAUCCAGAAAUCCCAGAUGCAAACCGGCUCCAUUUAAAGGCCACAACCUUCAGUAGAAGGACAAACAUCACAGCCAGUGAGCUGCCAAGCAGUGCUCCGACCGACCUUGUCAAAGAGAGCAGCUGGUCCCAGUUUUAGUCAGCACCUCUCAGCAUAAGUGUCUGGGUCACAGAAGGAGAACAGGUCAACAUUUCCAAAGACAUUUAACACACCAGCACAAAAGGCUACUUAGGUUGUCUUUGUAUGAAUUUGGUUGACUAGAGAAGUAAAUUAAAAAGGUGCUUUGAUUGAAGAAGUCACAUGGACAUAAUCACCAUUUCAACAAUAUAUUAGAUGAUGGUUAUUGGAACAGCCCAAACAUUUACCACAGAGCAAGAGAUAUAGCUUGAGUGGCUACUAGACUAUUCCAGAAUCAAGGAAUGGAUGACUACAGGUAUCGGGACAACUAUGAGGGCUAUGCCCCUAAUGAUGGCUACUACCGGGGCAAUGAGCAGAACCCGGAAGAAGAUGCACAGAGCGAUGUUACAGAAGGCCACGAUGAGGAGGAUGAGAUCUAUGAGGGCGAGUACCAAGGCAUCCCUCAUCCAGAUGAUGUCAAGUCUAAGCAGACUAAGAUGGCACCGUCCAGAGCAGAUGGCCUUCGGGGCCAGGCAGACCUGAUGGCUGAGAG